GACGGGACCCGCACAAGCGGUGGAUGAUGUGGUUUAAUUCGAUGCAACGCGAAAACCUUACCCACCUUUGACAUGUACGGAACUCGCCAGAGAUGGCUUGGUGCUCGAAAGAGAACCGUAACACAGGUGCUGCAUGGCUGUCGUCAGCUCGUGUCGUGAGAUGUUGGGUUAAGUCCCGCAACGAGCGCAACCCUUGUCAUUAGUUGCUACAUUUAGUUGGGCACUCUAAUGAGACUGCCGGUGACAAGCCGGAGGAAGGUGGGGAUGACGUCAAGUCCUCAUGGCCCUUAUAGGUGGGGCUACACACGUCAUACAAUGGUCGGUACAGAGGGUUGCCAACCCGCGAGGGGGAGCUAAUCCCACAAAGCCGAUCGUAGUCCGGAUCGCAGUCUGCAACUCGACUGCGUGAAGUCGGAAUCGCUGGUAAUCGUGGAUCAGCAUGUCACGGUGAAUACGUUCCCGGGUCUU
rnacentral:rRNA from 1 species